ACGGGUGAGUAACACGUAUCCAACCUGCCGUCUACUCUUGACAGCCUUCUGAAAGGAAGAUUAAUACAAGAUGGCAUCAUGAGUCCACAUGUUCACAUGAUUAAAGGUAUUCCGGUAGACGAUGGGGAUGCGUUCCAUUAGAUAGUAGGCGGGGUAACGGCCCACCUAGUCUUCGAUGGAUAGGGGUUCUGAGAGGAAGGUCCCCCACAUUGGAACUGAGACACGGUCCAA
rnacentral:rRNA from 1 species